GUUCUAAGCGCCUACAGAGCCUUGCUCAGGGCAACCAAGAAAUCCUUCGCCGGCGACACCUUGAUGCUGACCGAGUCAGCCGCCGAGGUCCGCCGGAAGUUCGAAGAGAGCCGCCAUGUGACCUCCGAGGCCGAGAUUCGUAAACUGCUCGAAGAAGCUCGUGAGGCCUCGCAUUUCAUCUCCAAUAUGAUCGUUCAGGCCAAGCUCACUUCUCGCGGCGGCUAUGAAAUGAAGCCGAGUAAAGACCAUGCUGGUGCAACACUAGAAGUUCCUUCUGAAGAGCUUCUGCGCAAAUCUACAUGAGG
rnacentral:misc_RNA from 1 species